rnacentral:rRNA from 1 species
UACGUAGGGUGCGAGCGUUGUCCGGAAUUAUUGGGCGUAAAGAGCUCGUAGGCGGUGUGUCGCGUCGGCCGUGAAAACCUGCAGCUUAACUGUGGGCUUGCGGUCGAUACGGGCAUCACUGGAGUUCGGCAGGGGAGACUGGAAUUCCUGGUGUAGCGGUGAAAUGCGCAGAUAUCAGGAGGAACACCGGUGGCGAAGGCGGGUCUCUGGGCCGAUACUGACGCUGAGGAGCGAAAGCAUGGGAGCGAACAGG